rnacentral:lncRNA from 1 species
AAUUUACAUCUUUAGAUCAGUGAUAGAAUUGAUUUUCUAUAUCAUUUUCCUUACUUCCCACCAUUAUGAAAGUCAUUGGUCAACUUGUUCAUAUUUUAACUGAUUUUAUUCUUGUUUUAUUUUUAUAUAUCAAAAAACCCUAAAGCACUCUUAUCUUUAUUUGUAUUUUAGCGAGUUAUUUUUAUUCAUUAUUUUCACGAUCGCUAGUC